rnacentral:rRNA from 2 species
CUAUGCGAUCAUACCAGCACUAAAGCACCGGAUCCCAUCAGAACUCCGAAGUUAAGCGUGCUUGGGCGAGAGUAGUACUAGGAUGGGUGACCUCCUGGGAAGUCCUCAUGUUGCAUUCC